AUCCAAAGUGUCCAAAUCCUUUCCACUCCUCAGCGAAGAUGGAUCUGGUACGCCGCUGAGAUCCUUUUGCUUUCAAACCGAAACUUUGUCUUGUUGGAAUUGCAUCUAUUCACACAGCAAGCAGCAGCACCACAUUUGCUGGUCCGAGAGACUCAACAUGUGGAUCCAGAACAAUGAAGCAGUAGCGGCAGACUCAAAGUUACAAUCCAACAAGCUGAAGACACAUCUUCAGCUUCACCAGAUGCCUGUAAAUCUUAUCAAAGCUGCCCCUGUUGAUCCUGCUGACUGGUCACAAAAUUUGAGUGAUACACUAAGAAAUGAAUUACUUAGUUAAGUUAUUACUUUAUUCUCAGGGAAAUUGUUUAAAUUACUUAUAUUUUUGUCUUGCUUUUGUCUUUUAAAGUCUAAAAAAUAAUUACUAACUGGGUAAUGCUGCAUAUAAACUUUUCUCUGGGGAUGACGGGUAAACUUUUCUGGACAGACGGAGGGAAGAGGGAGUUUACCGGAUGUCAGUUGGCUGAUUCCACAUUUAUUAGAUGCAAAACUUGUUUCAUGCUGCAUUUCCCCACAAAAAUACAUUUGAUAAAAAUAAAAAGCAAAGAAUAUUCAUCUUUGCUUCAUUUUUACAGCCCUGUGUCUCGUUUAAUGGCAACAAUAAAACGUGCAACCAUACAAGCACAUUGCUAUGGAGUAUUAUUUCACGAGCUAACUGGUAAAAUGCACCAGAAUAAAAGCCUCAUUAUAAUUAUUAUUGCCUUUUUCAAACCAAAAUAGGUGGUAAAAAUUAAUGGAUGGAUGGAUUUUCAUUUAGAUAAAAGAGCAGUACCUUUUGCAGGUCAAUAAUCUAUAUGUUUCUAUGCAUUAAGUCUGAUUUGUUAAAUCAUUUGAUUUCUUCUAUUUUUACACCUCCAAGUGAAGCUCCAGUUUCCAUGCUUCAACUCGAAUGUGACUGUUGGCCAUAUGCAGUUUGGGUUUCGGGCAAAUCACUCGACCGAAACUGCAUGUUGCCUUCUACUAGAAACAAUCAAACAAAAGCUUGACAAUGGAGGUGUAGUUGGAGCAAUAUUCUUAGACCUCCCCAAGGCAUUUGAUACAGUCAGUCACCCCACAUUACUUACAAAAUUAACAACUUUUAAACUGUCGGCAUAUACUCUGGCCUGGAUUAUGUCAUAUCUAUCUGGUCGGACUCAAUGUGUCCGUAUUGAUAACACAACAUCCAGUUUCACUGCAACUCAUAUCGGCCUGCCACAAGGCUCUAAUAUCGACCCUCUUCUUUUCUCCAUGUGCAUAAACGACCUGCCAUCUGUGUGUGAGGAUGUAAAUAUCAAGAUGUAUGCAGAUGACACGGUUAUUUAUACUUGGGGAAAAGACACUGAAACGGUUGCCAGAAAACUUACAGCAGCCAUGGAGAAGGUGGCAAGAUGACUAUAUGAAUCUUGUCUUACAUUAAACAUUAAGAAAACGGCAACAAUGUAUUUUGUAAACAAAUAUAAAAUGUAAUCCUUUUCAAAUAUAACGGUUGAUAAGGAAAUAAUUCAAAAUGUUAGUGAAUAUCGUUACCUGGGUGUCAUUUUAGACCCAACACUUGGCUUAAAAAAACAUAUAAAACAGAUGUGCCAGAGUCCUAAAUACAACAUAAAAACGUUCAAAUGUAUCAGGAAUUUGUUAACACUGAAGGCAGCUCAAACUUAGAAUGGGCGAAUGUGGAAAUACUGUCAAACCGCUUUGGGCUCCUUAAAAAGGGGUAAAAAAGCGCUAUAUAAGUACAACCCAUUUACCAUUUACCAUAAUUUAAUGCAGUAAGUGUACAAAUGUAUAUGUUUGAUUUAAAUGUUAAACUGUGUAUAUGAGACGUGUGCUACAUAAAUGUUGCUUAUAUAUUGUUUAAAAAAAAAAAAAAGUAACAUAAGUGAGGCAUGUUUUAUAUUUUAUAUAUUUUGAACCUUUUUCUUGUUGUGAUGGGGUAGGUUUAUAUAAGCGUUGCUUCAACGUACACCCUUUCGGCUCAAUCAUUGCUCAAAUGAUUGUUUUUUCUUUUCUUGUUGUUGUCCUUUGUUUUAUGUGAAGAUUGCCGAAA